GUUGAUAAGGUUAAGUGAAUAAGGGCGCACGGUGGAUGCCUUGGCACUAGGAGCCGAUGAAGGACGGGACUAACACCGAUAUGCUUUGGGGAGCUGUAAGUAAGCUAUGAUCCAGAGAUUUCCGAAUGGGGGAACCCAAUAUCUUUUAUAGGAUAUUACUUUUCAGUGAAUACAUAGCUGAUUAGAGGUAGACGCAGAGAACUGAAACAUCUUAGUACCUGCAGGAAGAGAAAGAAAAUUCGAUUCCCUGAGUAGCGGCGAGCGAAACGGGAAGAGCCCAAACCAACAAGCUUGCUUGUUGGGGUUGUAGGACUCCAAUAUGGUAGUCUGUUAGUAUAGUUGAAGGAUUUGGAAAAUUCCGCUAAAGAGGGUGAAAGCCCCGUAGACGAAAUGCUGACAACACCUAGGAGGAUCCUGAGUACGGCGGAACACGAGAAAUUCCGUCGGAAUCCGCGGGGACCAUCCCGCAAGGCUAAAUACUCCCUAGUGACCGAUAGUGAACCAGUACCGUGAGGGAAAGGUGAAAAGCACCCCGGAAGGGGAGUGAAAUAGAUCCUGAAACCGUGUGCCUACAACAAGUCAAAGCUCGUUAAUGAGUGAUGGCGUGCCUUUUGUAGAAUGAACCGGCGAGUUACGAUUGCAUGCGAGGUUAAGUCGAAGAGACGGAGCCGCAGCGAAAGCGAGUCUGAAUAGGGCGAAUGAGUAUGUAGUCGUAGACCCGAAACCAUGUGAUCUACCCAUGUCCAGGUUGAAGGUGCGGUAAAACGCACUGGAGGACCGAACCCACGUACGUUGAAAAGUGCGGGGAUGAGGUGUGGGUAGCGGAGAAAUUCCAAACGAACUUGGAGAUAGCUGGUUCUCUCCGAAAUAGCUUUAGGGCUAGCCUCGGAAUUGAGAAUGAUGGAGGUAGAGCACUGUUUGGACUAGGGGCCCAUCUCGGGUUACCGAAUUCAGAUAAACUCCGAAUGCCAUUCAUUUAUAUCCGGGAGUCAGACUGCGAGUGAUAAGAUCCGUAGUCGAAAGGGAAACAGCCCAGACCACCAGCUAAGGUCCCAAAAUAUAUGUUAAGUGGAAAAGGAUGUGGGGUUGCACAGACAACUAGGAUGUUGGCUUAGAAGCAGCCACCAUUUAAAGAGUGCGUAAUAGCUCACUAGUCGAGUGACCCUGCGCCGAAAAUGUACCGGGGCUAAACAUAUUACCGAAGCUGUGGACUACACCAUUAGGUGUAGUGGUAGGAGAGCGUUCUAAGGGCGUUGAAGGCAGAUCGUGAGGACUGCUGGAGCGCUUAGAAGUGAGAAUGCCGGUAUGAGUAGCGAAAGACAGGUGAGAAUCCUGUCCACCGAAUGACUAAGGUUUCCUGGGGAAGGCUCGUCCGCCCAGGGUUAGUCGGGACCUAAGCCGAGGCCGAUAGGCGUAGGCGAUGGACAACAGGUUGAUAUUCCUGUACCAGUUGUUUUUGUUUGAGCAAUGGAGGGACGCAGUAGGCUAAGGAAUGCAUGCGAUUGGAAGUGCAUGUCCAAGCAAUGAGUCUUGAGUAGAGUUAAAUGCUUUACUCUUUAAGGACAAGUUGUGACGGGGAGCGAAAUAAUAGUAGCGAAGUUCCUGAUGUCACACUGCCAAGAAAAGCUUCUAGUGAGAAAACAACUGCCCGUACCGUAAACCGACACAGGUAGUCGAGGAGAGUAUCCUAAGGUGAGCGAGCGAACUCUCGUUAAGGAACUCGGCAAAAUGACCCCGUAACUUCGGGAGAAGGGGUGCUGAUCUAAGAUCAGCCGCAGUGAAUAGGCCCAAGCG
rnacentral:rRNA from 1 species